UGGAGAAAUUUCUCGACUACUUCUGAAUGCUCUAUCCAUCAAUAUCCAGGGUUUGAAACCCUCUCUAAGUAUGACCGUCCAGACAUAAGGAAGAAUCUUGAAGGGCAAAACUUGGUAGUCAGUGUUUCACAUAAACUUCCAGCACGUUUGGAGGUAGACCAGGAUCAACGAAUCAAAUCUCUUUCCAGUAAGAUCCAUCAGGGGCAACUAGUGAGCAAGAGGCCAGUUCAUACAAAUGGAGAUGGAGGAUUUAGAGGAGCAGGAGAGGAAUGUACAUAUACAUUUGAACCAGAUUCCUCUUAAUGAGUUAUAGUUUGUUUACACAUUUUAUGUUGCAGAAAACAGCCAUAAUCAUUUAAUAAUCAGAGGCAGACAUUUGAAAACGUGUUCAAGAGGAUAUGUACUUAUUAAUCCUACCUGACAAGAGUAUUGUAUUAUCAGUGUAAAUACAGAAAACUAAAAUAUUUUUUUUUUAAGAGGGAAGUUUAUUUAGUUAUGUUCAACCUUGUCAAUUUGUACAUUAUAGGGUUUAAUUUUGAUUAAGCUUAGGUUUUAGAAUUAUUGUCUUUAGAGACUGUAAGCUUAACAUUACUACAGUAAAUUCAAAACUAUCUUGAAUUACAGCUUUGUAAAAUUAUACGUAACUCAUGAUUGAAAAAUAAUCAACCUAAACACAAGAGAGAUUAAGCCUAAUGUGAGCUUUUGAAGAGACUGGUAUAACAAUGUAUCUUGUUUUUAUUUGCUAUGCACUAGCCUUUAUAACCCUUUGGCUAAAAAUACAAUUUACAAGAUGAUUGGUUUAGCCAAGUAAUAAAAAAAAUAUAUUAAAAAAAGAAUUGUUCUCAAAGUUGAGCAAGAUUUUAAUUUCUUGCAGUUUAGAGUAUAGACCUAUAGAGAUCUGUUUGUGUUAUUGGAUUAGACAUUCUCUAACUUCACACAUUUGCUACUAUUACUUGUAUUAUGCUGGAUAUGUGUUAAAUCUUUACUGUGAUGCACGUGAUGAAAAGUUUUCUCGACUGUUCUACAUCAAUCCUUCCACCCAAGGUUUUUCUGUGUUUUUGAUAGGAUCUUUUAAUCCUCAGAGUUUCCUAUAUUUGUAUUUCUCUGGAGCUUUUAACUACUAUAGCUGAACUUUUUUUGUUAUCAAAAUGCAUUUACACUUUAAGCUACAUAUUACGAAAAAUACAGAUUUACAUAAUACAUUUUAUUUUCAUUAAUCUUGGUACUUAUGUUUUUAUGUUACAUUUAAUUCACCUCAUUAUUAUUAUUUUUUUUUACACUUUAGAGUAAUGUAUCUUUUUGGAUGUACACUUACUUACUGUGUGUUUUCCUUGCCUAGUUGCCCGGCAUGGCCAGGUGGUUAGGGCGCUCGACUCGCAAUCAGAAGGUCGCGGGUUCGAAUCCCAGUCCCACC